UUCAUUUUUAACUAUUGUAUUGUUUUUAUUUCUAAGUCACUUUGGACAAAACUGUCUGCUAAAUCAUAUAAUGCAUCAUGCAUUCAAAAGAGUCAAGAGAGACAAUGAUUCCAAAACUUCCACUAAAUGAUGCAUUUAACUAGUAACAAUGGUCUUGCAUCAAACCAUUCCAUUUAGGAUCACAAAGGUGGCUAGGCAACACCAUGAUGCCAUAGAACAUAGCACAGGGUAAACUGGAAUUUUUGUUCACUCUUUCUUGAGCUUGUGUAAAAGUUGGCUAGUUUCAGAUUUUUUGAUCAUUUGAUGUUCAAACUGUGAUUUCUGGCGAUCUGAUUUUAAUGUGGUUCUGCUGGUUCUUAGCCUGCUGCCUCGCAGCACGGCAGAAUGAAGAUAAAACGAUUAAGGGAUGUGUCAAAAAAUACGGACUGGAGGAACUAAAAAGAGAACUGGAGGCUUUGGGAGUUAACAUUGAUGAGGACGUGGAUGAAACUAAAAAGAAAAAGAAGACCAAAAAGGAACUACAAAAGCUCCUAAUAAAGGAACUGAAGCAGGUUGGCAAUGUCAAAAACUGGACAGGACAACAGGGCUUACGAAGACGGAUUCAUGCCCAUGGGGAUCCCUGAAGAUGUCCUAUCUGUUCUGAAUGAUCUGGACACGUUCUUGGACAAACAGUUAGAAGAACAGGAGAGAAAUGAACAGAGGGACAACGAUGUGAAAGCCGUGCUUGGCGGUCUCCUGGAUAAAGUGGACUCGAAUUUGGGCCAGAGGCUGGAGACAGGAAGGAGGAGGCCGAGCGGGCAGCCCAAUUCUGGAGUGCCACGGAGAACCACGAAGACUCCAUCCCCAGGAGGAGGCUUCGGGUGGCAAGACGCAGCAGCAGACGGCUGACCUUGUGAACGAUUGACAAGAACCGUCAAUAAAACCAAUACCAGAAGUCAGACUUCUGGGGGGUAUUCCAAGUACGUGGUUUAGUGAUAAACCUGGGUAAGUUAACUCCGAGUAAGUGGUAAACCUCCUACAACAAGAGCCCUAUGGUAUUGUUUUGUUAGGAGAAUGAAGCCAUACAGCUCUUCUAUUAGGAGGUUUACCACCUACUCUGAGUUAACUAACCCAGGUUUGUCUCCCUCUACACCCCCUACUGGCCUGAAAGUGUAAUUGCAAGAGCGGUUGCACUAGAGGGGCUUCCAAAAGCUGGCACAGACCCCAUUACAAGUUGGAAUCUAUCCCAACACCCAUUACUGGGCAUGUAUUCUAGCAACAAAUACUAAUGAAGUUAGUAAAAAAAAAUACAAAUAGACAAUGUAUUGUACCUUGACAUUGUCUGUGAGCCUCCCAAUAGAUGGUACUGGCUUUCAAGAGAGAGACCCUUCUCAUUCUCAUGAUUCCAAGUCAGUACUCUCAAAGACAGAUCACGAGAGGCAGUCACCACACGGAAAUUGUCCUGCAGUAUAAAUAAAUAUUAAUGUAUGCAUACAUAAAUCCAAAAAAAAGACAUGUACAAGUUACAACUAUCUCACUUGUAAUGUGGUAUACAAGGAGUGAAGCCCAUUGGUGGUCAGCCACAGUACUCAGAUGUGGUCAGCUUAUUACAGUUGAUUGUUUCUUUUUUUCUCAACUUGAUGGGACCAAAAGUUACAGAAAAUUUAGCAUUUGGACUGAGGGCAGAUAUUUCCUUGGCCGAAAGGCUGCGUCAUUCACUCUAGUCAUUAGUCAAUCAGCAGCAGUCUCACCACACAAAUGGACAUGAUGGGCUGUGUGUGGUCCUCCAUCCUUUGCAUGAGAGCUCCUUUCACAGAGUAGACACUUAUCUGGUUUCCUGCAGCCACCACCAGUGUGUUGCUGUCUCUGGCCUGGAGCAGGAUGUUUGUGUACGACAGGUCCAGCUCAAAGGACUCGGUCUGCUGAACUGUACACAUAAUGCACUUAUUACAGUGACACUCGGGAGGGCUCUGAAAUAUUCAUAUUUAUUUAUUUUCAAUUAUUCAUCAAUUUAUAUGUGCUAAUUACGUAUUCAUUUAGCAGAUGGUGAAGCACUUUACAGUGUCCAAAGCAAUUUUGAGUGAUAUAUAUACUCUGCCUCUAUAUAUAUAUACUUAUUUGUGGCAUAUAUGUGUAACCCAUAUGUAACGUGGUAUUGUUUCCAACUUCCUCUUCCAGUUGAGUUACAGGAACCCUUUUUUUUAGUGAUUAUUCAAUUUAGUUACUUUACAAUUGGGUACGGGUAAGUACUGAUUUUGGCUUUCUUUGUUGCUUUGUUUGUAUAAUCAUUAGGGUGAUAAAAAGAUACUGUAAAUGUCCCGAAAUGCAAGUGUAUUUAGGUAUUACAGUAAUUUAUUUUGUUCUUGGUCUACUUUACCUGUGUCCAGCUCCUGUAUGUUACCUACCAACAAUCCCACUAAUGAGCAUUUACCUGAGGGUUCUUCAUCAUAUUUUGUCUUUGUCAUGCUGAUGUUGAAGACAGAGAGGUAUUUUUUCUGUGAGAGAUCACUGUGGUGGAUCACCGCCACCCUGGCUGAGUGUGAUGGCAGGAAGGCUGCAGAAUAGACACCACAGACGGACCUUGGCAGACUAACACUGACUGGACCCUCACCCUCAGGGCCACUGGACAAACUUGGACUGAAGAAUAUCUAAGUAGCAACGAUAAAAUAGUAAUAAAUUAAAAAAAGUAAGUAGUAAAAAAAUAAAGAUGCAAGCAUUGA